rnacentral:misc_RNA from 1 species
UCAGACCUGACAACUUUGUCUUUGGUCAAUCCGGUGCCGGUAAUAACUGGGCCAAGGGUCAUUACACUGAGGGAGCCGAAUUAGUGGACUCUGUUUUAGAUGUCGUCCGCAAGGAAGCUGAGGGCUGUGAUUGUCUGCAAGGCUUUCAAAUCACUCAUUCCCUCGGUGGUGGUACUGGUGCUGGAAUGGGAACCCUUCUAAUCUCAAAGAUUCGUGAAGAGUUCCCAGAUCGUAUGAUGGCUACUUUCUCUGUUGUUCCAUCCCCGAAGGUCUCCGAUACCGUCGUCGAGCCUUACAACGCUACCCUAUCAGUCCAUCAAUUGGUCGAAAAUUCCGAUGAAACAUUUUGUAUCGAUAAUGAGGCUCUUUAUGACAUUUGCUUCCGUACCCUCAAACUUGCCACUCCUACCUAUGGCGAUCUAAACCAUCUCGUUUCGAUCGUGAUGAGUGGUAUUACCACCUGUCUCCGAUUUCCAGGUCAACUCAACUCUGACCUUCGUAAACUGGCCGUAAAUAUGGUUCCAUUCCCUCGAUUGCAUUUCUUUAUGGUCGGGUUUGCCCCAUUGACAGCUCGUGGUAGCCAGCAAUAUCGUGCAAUUACUGUACCAGAGCUAACCUCUCAGAUGUUUGAUGCCAAAAACAUGAUGGCCGCUUCAGAUCCAAGACAUGGUCGAUACCUGACCGUAGCUGCUUACUUUAGGGGUAAAGUCUCAAUGAAAGAAGUCGAAGAGAACAUGCUCUCUGUUCAAAGCAAAAACUCGAAUUAUUUUGUUGAAUGGAGUCA